CAUCAGGUGGCCGAGUUGGUCUAAGGCGCCAGGUUAAGGCUCUGGUCCGAAAGGGCGUGGGUUCAAAUCCCUCUCUGGUCA
rnacentral:tRNA from 1 species